rnacentral:rRNA from 1 species
GAAGAAGGCCUCGGUUGUAAGACUCUUUCUAGCCGGAAAGAAAUACGCGCAGGAUAAUACUCUGCGUGGAUGACGGUACCGGAAGAAGAAGCACCGGCUAACUACGUGCCAGCAGCCGCGGUAAUACGUAGGGUGCGAGCGUUAAUCGGAAUUACUGGGCGUAAAGCGUGCGCAGGCGGUUAUGUAAGACAGAUGUGAAAUCCCCGGGCUCAACCUGGGAACUGCGUUUGUGACUGCAUAACUAGAGUACGGCAGAGGGAGGUGGAAUUCCGCGUGUAGCAGUGAAAUGCGUAGAUAUGCGGAGGAACACCGAUGGCGAAGGCAGCCUCCUGGGCCAGUACUGACGCUCAUGCACGAAAGCGUGGGGAGCAAAACAGGAUUAGAUACCUGGUAGUCCACGCCCUAAACGAUGUCAACUAGUUGUUCGGUGAGGAGACGUCAUUGAGUAACGCAGCUAACGCGUGAAGUUGACCGCCUGGGAGUACGGCGCAAGGUUAAAACUCAAAGGAAUU